UGCUGAAGGUCAGUGAUGAGGAUCUCGCCGGUGCAUGCUGAUGAGGCUGUGAGAGGUGACGAUGAUCGGCUUAAUGCGACAAUGGUUGUGCUAACACCUUGUUGGUCAAAGUAGCUGGGCUUUGUUGCCGUCCAGUUUCUCUAUUUGCGUAGCCUUGAUGAUACAUGGUCCUUGGAUUGUGCAUUUCGUCAUUGAUCAGAAACAAUUGGAGUCUUGGAGGGGGGUAAAAGAAAAGAUGACUCGAGAGCAAGGUAUGGUCGACAAAGGUUGAACUUAGUCCAUGACCCCAUUGCUUGAUCGUUUGCAUCCCUUUUUGUUUGUUUGAGCCCAAGGAGUUGACAAAAACCAUGGAACACCGUUGUUAUCAUAGUUCAUAUCUUCAGGCUUGA